GAUGAACGCUGGCGGCGUGCCUAAUACAUGCAGGUCGAGCGAACAGACGAGGAGCUUGCUCCUCCGACGUUAGCGGCGGACGGGUGAGUAACACGUGGAUAACCUACCUAUAAGACUGGGAUAACUUCGGGAAACCGGAGCUAAUACCGGAUAAUAUAUUGAACCGCAUGGUUCAAUAGUGAAAGACGGUUUUGCUGUCACUUAUAGAUGGAUCCGCGCCGCAUUAGCUAGUUGGUAAGGUAACGGCUUACCAAGGCGACGAUGCGUAGCCGACCUGAGAGGGUGAUCGGCCACACUGGAACUGAGACACGGUCCAGACUCCUACGGGAGGCAGCAGUAGGGAAUCUUCCGCAAUGGGCGAAAGCCUGACGGAGCAACGCCGCGUGAGUGAUGAAGGUCUUCGGAUCGUAAAACUCUGUUAUUAGGGAAGAACAAAUGUGUAAGUAACUAUGCACGUCUUGACGGUACCUAAUCAGAAAGCCACGGCUAACUACGUG
rnacentral:rRNA from 1 species